GGAAGAACAUGUAACUUCAGCCCAUUCUGGAGAUGAGAAUACCGAAAACAGACAGGGGAGGUAAAGCGACCUCCAGGGAGUUCAUUCCCACCUUACAAAUGGGCUGAGGACAGAAGGGUAUGCAGCUUGCUUGGAGCCAGACAGGGCUGAGAGGCUCUGCCGCUCUCUUCACAAUGGAAGGUCUGCGAAGACUGUGCUUUCUCCAUCUCGGGAUCCCAGCACCAGCCACAGCAACUGUUUGUUGAAUGAAAGAAAGACCUUUGUGUGAGAAUGCAGAGCCUCCCUCUGCUCCCGACGUCCCACUGAGACCGCUGGCCAUGGUGAGCCUUCCUGUGGGACUGAUGAGGAAACUGAGGCGGUGAGGGGCGAGAUUGGCGGGAUACGGAGCUGAUGCACAGCCCAGGGGAUCCUGGCCCAGAGCCGCUCCCCAGGCCAGGCUCUGCAGAGAGGAAAGGCAGAGCCCUCUCACCCAUCUGCCCUGGGCUCACUGUACUUGGAGCCUCCCUCACCGCAGGGACCCACACAGGCUGGAGCCCCUCCCCAGCAGGAACCCCUGUCUACGUCCAGGGGCCUUGCGGAUGGAGGGCAACCUGGGGGGGGGCGCAGCCAAGCGCUGGCCCUGGAUUGGCAGUUCCCAAGGCCACACCCCACUGCCAUCGCCCUUGCUGGUGCUUCUGCCAGAGAUGCCCUAUCUACCCAGCACCAUCACAUGAACUCCUAUGCGCCCUACAAAGCCCAGCUUGAAUGUUGCCGCCUCCAGGAUACCAGGAGGGUCAUAUAACACUUUGAUCAAAAUCCCAACAAUACUUUUUCUGCAGUUGUUUAACCUAUUUGAGUGCCCACGCCGUCAGACCAACUCCUCUACUGAGCACUUACUGUGUGCAGGCAGGGGGAUGGUGCUGGGAGGGAGGGGAACAGGACAGGCCCAGUCUCAUCCUCUCAGAAUCCACCCCUGGGUCAGGCCUGCCAUCUGGACGGGUCCAACAUUUGGGCCUGGACAUGGAGCUCUGGCCACAGUGCCCUGGGGCAGCCCAGGAGGAGGGGAGGGGCUUGGACCUCGGCCCCUGCUUCCUAAGUGGGCGAGCAUGAGCCCCAAGCCCAGCCUCUCCGAGCUCGGUUUCCCCACGUGGGGCUCUGAGCCACGUGGGUCUGCUCACCUCCCAGGUGAGGGUGAGGCAGCUUGCCUGGCAUGGCUGCUCUGUGAGCAGGGGCUGGAGGCGAGGCCGUGGCCGUCUCAGCAGAAAGGGCUGCACUGGGCAGAAAUCCCACCCUUCCUCCCGGUGGUUCCCCCGGGGCCUGGGUGCUGGUCUCCAGAGCCUCAGCCCUGCCAGUUUCACCCGUCCUGGAGGGGGGUGGGGCUGGGCAGCUUCCUUGCCUCUGACAGAGCCUGGAGGGGCCGGUAUUCCACCCUCGGCUCCAAGCAGGGCCGCUGGACAAGCCGCCCGGACCCGUGGUGGCGGUGGUGAGGGCCACCCCGGGCGUGUCUCCUCACUGCCCA